rnacentral:rRNA from 1 species
UACAGAGGUCCCGAGCGUUGUUCGGAUUCACUGGGCGUAAAGGGUGCGUAGGUGGUGAGGUAAGUCGGAUGUGAAAUCUCCAAGCUCAACUUGGAAAUGGCAUUGGAAACUACCUUGCUGGAGGUUUGGAGGGGGGACUGGAAUUCCCAGUGUAGCGGUGAAAUGCGUAGAUAUUGGGAGGAACACCAGUGGCGAAGGCGGCUCACUGGACCGGAACUGACGCUGAGGCGCGAAAGCGUGGGGAGCAAACAGG